rnacentral:rRNA from 1 species
UACGUAGGGGGCAAGCGUUGUCCGGAUUUAUUGGGCGUAAAGGGCGCGUAGGCGGCCAUGCGUGUCUUCCGUGAAAUCCCUCGGCUUAACUGAGGACGUGCGGAAGAAACUGCAAGGCUCGAGUCCGGGAGAGGGGGGUGGAAUUCCCAGUGUAGCGGUGAAAUGCGUAGAUAUUGGGAGGAACACCGGUGGCGAAGGCGGCCCCCUGGACCGGUACUGACGCUGAGGCGCGAAAGCGUGGGUAGCAAACGGG